AUUUGCUAUUUAAUUCUAUAAUAAAACAAAUAAACUAAUAUACCAAAUAAAAAUAAAAUAAACUGCUAUUCAUCUUCUUCCCCCCCCCCUCCACCCCACUGCUGCUGCAAUUUUCCCAUCGCGCUUUCUUGCCGACGACUAACCACACCCACAAUAGCCGUCGUUCUCACCACAACUCAAAUGGAUAUGAUAAUAAAUGAAAGUUCUCUCGCCAAAUCUUGAAAAUUAUUGUUGUUACACAGAGGGAUAAGAUGAGAGAACAUACGAUGUCGUCGAGCUGCAAGCAAACGGCGUUCGAGGAGCUCUCGAAUCGAAGGACAGGUAUUGUCAAUGGUGUCUCUGAUUAUGGCGUCCACUUCUUGCUUCUUCCUCAAUGUCGGGAGUAAAUAUUCCCUCUCUCUAUGGCUAUUUUGGGCUACGCAAUUGAUUACUCGUUUAAUUGUUUUACAGAUUGAAUUGAGAUUACUGGGAAGGUGGGUAUUUCGAUAAUUUGAGCUCCAAUUCAUAUGUGAAUAGUUCUGAUUAUAUGCCUCUUUUUCGCUAUAAGUACCCAGGUGCGGAGGUGGUGCUGGUUUCGAUUUCGAGGCGAAGUGGCGCUCACAUUGAUUUCGAUUUCUUAUUUUGAUUCCAUUUAGCAGUGAAUAAGAGAGUAGCCGAGGUGGUGGAGGUUGUGGAAUUGAUGGGGGCUGACGGAUUUGGGCGGAGAUGGGCAGCCGGGGUUGGUUAGUCGA
rnacentral:lncRNA from 1 species